GGUAGCAGAGACAGUGGAAAGAAAUACUCCGACGAGAUUGCCGCGGAUCCUCGGCGCAGCCCCUAGCGAUCCGUUCUCUCUUGCGAUGACAGGGGAAGAAUACGAAGUUAGAAGGGGGGCAAAGACGAAGAAAACAGACGGAAAGUACUUCAAGCCCAUGAAAGCUGUGCUAAGUGCUUAUGAAUAUCUGUAAAAAUGAGAAAGGGAUUUUUUUUUCUUUUUGCCACCAUCUGUUGCAUUGUUUCAAAUAUUCACAUACCAAAAUGUAACUGCCCAGCAAAUUUAAUGAUAACGAAAUUAAAGCAUGUUGGCAGAAAGUACCGGGCCAUAUUAAUGUUCGCUUAGCCUCUGUUUUGUUUGUACUUUAAUGUCUUUGUUUCCAAGCACUUUUCUUCAACUCCAAGUUUCAUUUCUGUCUUUUUAUUCUUUUUAAUGCCAUAAAAUGGAUAGCUUUAGGCCCUAGCAUGUCUAAAGAGGCAGACACUGCACAAAGCUGCAGUUCUGAGAUUUGUGUGGACCAUUACAUUGUUUCCACAAAGAUUAAUGAAAACUGCAGUUCUCCACCUCAGUUUACAGAUGGAAAAAAUUAAUUCACCUGCAUAGAAGGAAUCAGUGUGUCACAGCUGCCUUUGGCAAGAUGGUCUGAGAGUUAUGCAGGUCCAUCAGGCUCAGCUACAGCUUUUCAUCUGCCCUUCCUCCUGCAACCAGAGAGAUAGCCCACAAGGGCAUGGGGUAUGCAGACCCUCCCCAGUCAGCUGCAGCAGUCGCUCCUGCCAGCGCUCCCUUUCCCCCAGAUCAUUGCCAUUUCACAGGCUGGAGCCCUAUGUGGCAGAAGAGGAGAGAGCUACAGGCAGAAGUAAAACAGGGUGCUGGGAUUCCUCCAUCCUGCUGCCAGAUGUCUUCUCUGGCAUUCUGGGGGUGGGCAGGGGACUGUGGGAGCACUCUCGAGGCUCUGGGCAGGAUGGUAGGAAGCAAAGAUGCAGCUGCAGGCAGUGGGCUGUGGGCUGGAGCAGUGCAGCCAGGCACGGCUCACAGUAUGGGCACACGGAGGAAGUUCAUCCAGCUGAGAGCUGCUGGGCUGUCCUUACCACGCACUCUCCCAUCCUACAGGUCUGCACAGACUGCAGCAGUUGCUCGAGCAUUUUCCACUGCAGGCGCUCACAAGCGACAACUCCAACCUUGACCCAUACAGGUAAUGACAAUAUACACACACAAAUACACACUCAAUACAGAAUCUGGAACUCUACAGUCCUCCCAGAGCUUGUUACUGCUUUUUAGGCUGCUCUUCAGGUAUUCUGUCCUUUCCCCUUCACUCCCCUAUGUCUUGCCCCAUGCCUUCCCCAUUUCUUUUUCAGGCUUUCCCCUUUAUUUCCUCACUUCCUUCCCCAUGCCAUCCCCCUGCAACAGUGGGCAUGCUGUACAGCGAGUGCAUUCUGGAGAUGAUUUACCUGUUCUCCAAGUCUGCUAUGUCUUCAUAAAUCCCACAUCGUGCCUCAGCAGAAAUGGGGUACUGCAGUACAUCAGUGAUCUCUGAUUUGAGGAGCUCAGGGGCUGCACGAAGUACUCACCCUGCAGCUUCCCUAUUUCUUUGAGGUUUGGGCCGAAAGGCUACACGCUGCCGUACAGACAGGUGUCAGGUUCAACCACUGAGGACACUAAAUCCUACAAUAUUUUUGCAAUGGUCUUCAAUUGCAAAGUGAGUAGAUGACACGUUUCUCACGGGGGAGCCAUAAGCUGAUCCAGGCAGUCUGGCAGACGGCACUCGCUCUGAUCACACCAGGAAUCUUAGCUCUUUUGCUGCACAUGCAGCUUCUCAGCAUCUUGCUGUAUCAGUAUUGAAAUCUGUGCUACCCUGUCUAUUAGAAAUUUCACCAAUUGCCUUUGAGGACAGACUGGAAUCAAAAUACAUGGGCCAUCAUAGCUUGUCCAUUGAUAAACCUCCCCUUACUGGACAGGCAGACCCAAUUACUUUUUUUUUUCUUUUUUUUUUUCUUUUUUUUUUUUUUUUUUUUUUUUUUGGCUUUAUGCCUUUAUGGGAUCUUUGAGAUCACAGCCUGAAGCAGUGAUGGAGCACCUGGUGAGGGGUGUAGCCCUAUGAGCACAGGUGGAAGCAAUGCACCUGUGGGACCAGAUGGGGCUGAGCCUGUCUCCACCCCUCCCUAAUCUCAUUUAAGGGCUGGUAGCCGCAGAGGCAUUGUCUCUUUCUGGAGGCUGUGUCCUGUGGAUUGCUGGGUGAGCCCUGGUCCUUGGAAAGAGGCUGCCAACUGAUCCCUCUCGUAUCUGCAGUAACCCGAAUGUAGUCUAGUAAGGUUUGCUCAAGUGAGAUGGAAAACGAAGAGGCAGUCUCCAAAACAGGCUCGCGUAUUGGAGACUUAUCCACCACAUGGUGAUGCCUUCCCUGACCUCCUUGAUUGCAGUGUGGGAUGUGCCCUGAUCCUUGGAAAGGGGUGAGUGAUUCCUUCAUCCUUACUAGAAGGUAAUCUCUACUUACCUUUUCUUGUGUCCAGCAGGUGGCACUGGAGAGUUGUGACCCUGCUGAGCAGUGCAAGGACUCUACUGAGGCUCUUGGUGGACACAGCGAGAACCCACACCCAUAGAUGGAUGCCAAUAUCUAUUCCUUCCUCUGUCUGGCAAGCUCUGGUGUCCCCUGAGGUCAUUCCCAUGCUUGCAGAGGUCCUAUGGGCUUCUUGUUGGUUUUCCCUUGUGCUCACUGGGCUUUCCAAGGGUGUUCCUCUUACUUGACACCACUUUUCCCACUCUCCAUUUCCAAGCAGGAGCUCCCCUUGGCCUCCGUGUCUCGCUCUGGCCAGGCAGAUGUGGUGUGCCAAUGGAUC